AGUAAUGACAUUCUGAAACUGGUCUUGGUCCCCACCGACCCACCCUCCUGCCUUCUCCCACUUUUUAGGCACAGAGUGCUGAUACACAACAAUUUGCACUUCAGUGAACAGAUAUUUUAUCAUUUGCAUUGCCUGAUAUGUUAAUCCUGCUGAGACAAAUUCACUCUUGAAAGCAGAAUCUGGCUAGUACUUCCCAGUCAGCUUAGACAUCACCUUGUGGACUUUGUUUGAGCACUCAAAACAGAACAUAAAAAUAUACAAAAAUUAAAAAAAAAAUAAAAGGGAGAGGAAUCUGUUUCAGAGCUUGAAAACAGAGCUAUUGAAAAAACAGGGUGAAAUACUGGCCUCUGUGAAAUCAGUGACAAAACUCCCCCUGUUACACAAACCAUUCGUGUUCUAAUGUUUCAAAGGAAAAUUGAUUUUCCUAGCUUCUCUAUUGACAUUAUGCUGAUAUGGCAAUAAGGAACUAUUCACAUCUACCAUACAUACUCGUACUGUGUUCACCACACUCAGUGUCAGAACUGCCUUUCACAAACAGGGAGAGAGAAAGUGGCAAUUGUUAAUAAAUUUCCUGGGCAGAUUUAUUUUACCUGUUGACAUUUUGAGAAGCAACUCAAUCCUCAUACUUUAAAAUCCAACUGUGCCUGUGGGACAUGACCAAUUUGCAUUAAAUCAUGAAGCUGUACCCUGACUAGAAGAGGAUAAUCACAGUUUGUGUUUAUGAAAAUUGGUAAAGUCAUUUGCUUUAUUAGUAACAAAUGUUUAACAAUUCAAGCUUCUCAAAGACCCUUCUGUGUUCUCUCUAGGAGGGUUUCAGUUUAUGCUGCCACUGUGCUUUAAGGAAAAACUGUGUGUAUCAUAUACAAUAAUGCAUUAUUCCGGACCCCCGUCCUACUUGAAAACCUGAGUGCUUUCUCAUACUCUGUGUUCUGCACUCCAGCUUGCUCCUUUUCAUGCGGAGCUUCUCACAUUUGUAAUUUUAAAUCAGCUCAGUACAAAGGCAAGGUGUUUUUGUUAAACAAGUGAUCAGGCUCCCUAAUGAACCAUAGUCUCCAUAAUAAAACCAACUUAACCACACAGUAAUUCUGGGUGUACAACAGUUAUUUCCUACAUCAUAUACAGGGUAAAACAUUCUGUCUGAAGUCAUGCUAUGAGAUAGCAAUUAUUCCCAGUUAUUAAAUCCUUAGUAUAGGUCAUGGUACGUACCUAAGGAUCAUGCCAUCACAGUAGAUUGUGCAAUACUUUAAAAACUUCACAAAGCUUAAUUAUCAACAUAAAUACAUCAAAUUAGAGAAACGAAAAAACUGCCUCCCCCCUCCAUACACUGGAGAAUUAUCAUAUCAGUACAAAACCCCGAUGAUCUGACCUGCAGAACAGAAGCUCAAGGUGACCUUUGGUUCAAGAGAAAAAACACUCAGGUUAGUCAAAUCAAGCAAAGUAAUGGGAGAAUUAUGCUUGCAUGUAAAGAAUGGCAGGUCCAUCACAACAAUUUCAACAAGAAAGCAGCAGACACCAGAAAGGGGACAUAGCCCUUCAGAUAACUGUAUCUCUCGAAACAUCUCAAAACUCAGGAAACCCCAUGGACCUUUUGAUAGGCUUCACAUCCUGGAGUGUCUUCUUCAAUCAAUGUGAAACAAAGCUUGGUUUUCAUAUGCUUCUUUGUUUAACCCAUCUAGCUAACCCCCUAUUAAUAUAUAGUUUUCAUCACUAAGGCUAUAAAUACUAUAUAUUUCCCUAAUGUAAUGGGUCUUUCUGCUCUCUGUAGCUUACUAUCAAAAGUGUGAUAACAAAAGUGUGACAGGAGAUGCAGACAGCUUUUCCUUUUGAGUCGAAGUGCACAAGGAGAUCAGAGAGAUUCAUAAACAUCUGCUUUCAAGCUUUUUUCAGUGUUAUUCCAACAACUGUUGGGAAAGAAAACAAAACAAAACAAACAAACAAACAAAAAACAACAACAACCAAAACCCUUUCUUUAUACAUUUGAGGGACAACAUGGACUGACAUUGUCUUUUCUGAGCUACUAGUACUCUGGCCUGAUGUAGGGGAGGACGAAACAUUCUGGCACCUUGUUCUAAUAAAUCUUCUUCCGAUUUCUCAUGGACAGCGCACUCUGUAAUUUAGAAACUUGGCAGGGAGGAAGUCCAAGUGCAGCAUCUUCAAAGACCGUGGCUUUAGUGAAAAUAUAAGUGAAUGAACUUGGAUUGAGUACAAAUAAGAAAUGCAUUCCUGGACCAAAGAGCUACAGCAUUAUCUUAACCUUAACACUAGUUCUGCUUGUCCAGAAGUCUGAAGUUUUGUUUUGUUUUAACGUAUAAGAUCAAAAACACAAAUUGCCUUCCUUUCCAGUGGGUGGAUGUAAUAUCUCAAACAGCUUUUCUCCCAGUGUAAAAGAAUUACUGCAGUGUUAUAAGUUUCUAGGUUUAGUGAGUUAAAAUUCAGGUCCUGUGGUGGGUCUGCCAGACCAUAUGAAGCGUACUUUAUGAGGCUUUUAUCUAUACAUCUGCAGCACAACACUGUGGCUUUAUUGCCUUGUUUAUCUUACUUUUUUUAUUUAUUUAUUCUUUGUCUUGUUUCUGCCACUGUUGUUUUUCACAGGGAGAACUUUACCAGUGGAUGGACACUUGGGGCCAAAACCAUAAUAAGGACUUUUGGUUAUUAAUGGUGCUGCCUUUAUGAAGAAGAUAUGAGAAAAACACACUCCAUAAACCUCUUUUAUAACAGUUUUUCUUUCCCUCCUCUGUCUGUUUGAAUCAGAGCAAGCAUGUGAGGUGUCUGCCUGAGGGGAGCCCAGCUUUACGACAAGGAGGCUGGAGUCAGAUUUUUUCUUAUUUCAGUGAAUCUUAUCUCAGGAAGACCUGAAGAGAAAUAAAACACAAGGCACUGCAGGAGCAGACUGAGGAACUAUUAACUUGAUGAGUUAGAUUGCUUAGAGGAGGUUGUUAUUACUGGAGCUCUAAUUGACGUCUGCCAGGUCUUGCCUCCUCCCCCUCCUUGGAUCAGCUUCAAACAACAGUUCUUCCUGUGUCUAAGAAAUCAAGCAUUUUAAGAUUAAAAAGCUUUAAAAUUGCCUGCAGCACAGGCUUACCCUGCUAAAUCAGCACAGGUUUAAAUGGACAGACUAACUCUUGAACUUUAUGCAGGACUUUCCAUUUUACAGGGGACUGCAGAGGAUCUUGAGUGUUGGUCAGCACCUUGCAGAAUGGGGUUAAAGUGAGCGAGGAAGUAAGCCGAUCUGAUUGGCUUAAGGUAAAGUAGCUCUUAGGUAGAGGUAGUCUAAGUACAUACCAUUCCCACCAUACACUGAGAAUCAGACAUUCCUCUUUUUGUUUUUCCCAAUAUCAACUAGUUUUAUGGUCUUUGAGUCUUUCACAGCUGCCCUCAGCUCACUACAGCCAUAAAAGUAGCAACUGGGUAUAUAUUGCUCAGGACAGGGAUUUCCAGUUUGGAUGUCAGUUACAGGUGCUGCUUUUGAUCCUCUUUAGCCUUUCAGUGGGUAUCAUUUCCCUUUCCAGGAACAGCAAAAGAACUUCUUCCCACCUCUCUCUGUAGAUUUAAGAAUGCUCAGUUCUCUCAGCCCCUUUUUGCAAUCCACCAGAGACCCAAUGGGGCUUGAGUAACGUCCUUCUCAUCAGCUCCCUAGACAGAAGGCUACUGGAACCAGGACCAUGCAACAGAGGGGAAGGAGGGAAGCAAAAGAAGACUCUGGAUGCUGAUUCAGCAGUCACAGUCUCCAGAGGCUGCUCAAAGGAAAUCUGGGUUCCUCUAAGUCCUGCGAUAUGAGGGAGGUAAUGUUUGGACAUUCAGUCAUCCUCUCCUCACACACUCUGAAAGAGGUGCAGAGCACACAUUUUUUAUGACCGUAUGCUUUGUAAAAUUCAUCCUCCAUUUUAUUCCUUUGGAUUUGUGUUGGAGAGAAUACACUUACUCAAAUACAAUAGUUUUAGGUAUAUGCACAAAAGACGUGAUGCUAACUUUUAUUAGUAAUUUACUAAUUGCAAAAUAUAUCUGGAUAUUUAUGAGACUUUCAAACAUAUUUUUUCUACACUUAUAAAGAUAAUUAUUGGUAAAUCUGCCAACUGCUUGUCUGUCUGCUCCUCUGUUGUGCACCCUGAUAGAGACCAUAGGCUUGCCUUGGUGUUCUAGACUGAAGGUGCACGUAGUCAUCUCAUUCCUUUGUUUAAAAAAUGUUCUGUUCCAGACUUGUUUCGCUGCUGGUAAAAAGAGAAAGGAUAGUGCAAAUGUGAAAGUAAGACUACAUGAUAUAACUCACAAGACAAUCUAACUUACGAAUUAAAAAGGAGAUUAAAAAGUUAUUAUUCACACAAUACCAUUCACUUGGCCUUGUUUCAGAUGCGUUUCUUAUCUGAUUUUCGCACACUAGAAAUAGAUAAUCUAUUUCUUAACACUUUUUCUUUCUAAUUAUCAUUACUAGCCACUGAAAACUAAAAAAAAAAAAAAAAAAAACUGUAAUGAAGGUUCAUAAUAUAGGUGUGGUGAGUAAGGAUAUUGUCCUCUCAUACACGAAGCACAUAUUAACCUUUAAUUUUGAUUAAUAAAUAAAGCUUUUGUCAUACUACAUCAUAUAAUGGUUUUUAAAUGUGGGAAAGUUAACAUUGUUUUUGAAACCUUCAUGUUGUGCUUAAAUAUUUCUUACAUUAGCUUUCCUAGUAAUUGUUAAGUACAGAGUCCACAAAAUCUGUUUCUUAUUAGACUAGCAGAGUUUAUAUAUUCUCCUUAACCAGAUUCAAGUUUCAAACUUCAACCAUAUUGUACUGUAACUUACUUUUUUAAAGUGUGUUUUGAGUUUCAA